rnacentral:rRNA from 1 species
UACGUAGGGUGCGAGCGUUAAUCGGAAUUACUGGGCGUAAAGAGUGCGUAGGCGGGUUCUUUUGUGUCCGCUGUGAAAGCCCCGGGCUUAACCUGGGAAUGGCAGUGGAAACUAGGAGAACUUGGAAUCUGGCAGAGGGGGGUGGAAUGCCACGUGUAGCAGUGAAAUGCGUAGAUAUGUGGCGGAACACCGAUGGCGAAGGCAGCCCCCUGGGCUGAGAUUGACGCUCAGGCACGAAAGCGUGGGGAGCAAACAGG